GGUUAAGCGACUAAGCGUACACGGUGGAUGCCCUGGCAGUCAGAGGCGAUGAAGGACGUGCUAAUCUGCGAUAAGCGUCGGUAAGGUGAUAUGAACCGUUAUAACCGGCGAUUUCCGAAUGGGGAAACCCAGUGUGAUUCGUCACACUAUCAUUAACUGAAUCCAUAGGUUAAUGAGGCGAACCGGGGGAACUGAAACAUCUAAGUACCCCGAGGAAAAGAAAUCAACCGAGAUUCCCCCAGUAGCGGCGAGCGAACGGGGAGGAGCCCAGAGCCUGAAUCAGUGUGUGUGUUAGUGGAAGCGUCUGGAAAGGCGCGCGAUACAGGGUGACAGCCCCGUACACAAAAAUGCACAUACUGUGAGCUCGAUGAGUAGGGCGGGACACGUGGUAUCCUGUCUGAAUAUGGGGGGACCAUCCUCCAAGGCUAAAUACUCCUGACUGACCGAUAGUGAACCAGUACCGUGAGGGAAAGGCGAAAAGAACCCCGGCGAGGGGAGUGAAAAAGAACCUGAAACCGUGUACGUACAAGCAGUGGGAGCCUCUUAAUGGGGUGACUGCGUACCUUUUGUAUAAUGGGUCAGCGACUUAUAUUCUGUAGCAAGGUUAACCGAAUAGGGGAGCCGAAGGGAAACCGAGUCUUAACUGGGCGUUAAGUUGCAGGGUAUAGACCCGAAACCCGGUGAUCUAGCCAUGGGCAGGUUGAAGGUUGGGUAACACUAACUGGAGGACCGAACCGACUAAUGUUGAAAAAUUAGCGGAUGACUUGUGGCUGGGGGUGAAAGGCCAAUCAAACCGGGAGAUAGCUGGUUCUCCCCGAAAGCUAUUUAGGUAGCGCCUCGUGAAUUCAUCUCCGGGGGUAGAGCACUGUUUCGGCAAGGGGGUCAUCCCGACUUACCAACCCGAUGCAAACUGCGAAUACCGGAGAAUGUUAUCACGGGAGACACACGGCGGGUGCUAACGUCCGUCGUGAAGAGGGAAACAACCCAGACCGCCAGCUAAGGUCCCAAAGUCAUGGUUAAGUGGGAAACGAUGUGGGAAGGCCCAGACAGCCAGGAUGUUGGCUUAGAAGCAGCCAUCAUUUAAAGAAAGCGUAAUAGCUCACUGGUCGAGUCGGCCUGCGCGGAAGAUGUAACGGGGCUAAACCAUGCACCGAAGCUGCGGCAGCGACGCUUAUGCGUUGUUGGGUAGGGGAGCGUUCUGUAAGCCUGUGAAGGUGUACUGUGAGGUAUGCUGGAGGUAUCAGAAGUGCGAAUGCUGACAUAAGUAACGAUAAAGCGGGUGAAAAGCCCGCUCGCCGGAAGACCAAGGGUUCCUGUCCAACGUUAAUCGGGGCAGGGUGAGUCGACCCCUAAGGCGAGGCCGAAAGGCGUAGUCGAUGGGAAACAGGUUAAUAUUCCUGUACUUGGUGUUACUGCGAAGGGGGGACGGAGAAGGCUAUGUUGGCCGGGCGACGGUUGUCCCGGUUUAAGCGUGUAGGCUGGUUUUCCAGGCAAAUCCGGAAAACUAAGGCUGAGGCGUGAUGACGAGGCACUACGGUGCUGAAGCAACAAAUGCCCUGCUUCCAGGAAAAGCCUCUAAGCAUCAGGUAACAUCAAAUCGUACCCCAAACCGACACAGGUGGUCAGGUAGAGAAUACCAAGGCGCUUGAGAGAACUCGGGUGAAGGAACUAGGCAAAAUGGUGCCGUAACUUCGGGAGAAGGCACGCUGAUAUGUAGGUGAAGCGACUUGCUCGUGGAGCUGAAAUCAGUCGAAGAUACCAGCUGGCUGCAACUGUUUAUUAAAAACACAGCACUGUGCAAACACGAAAGUGGACGUAUACGGUGUGACGCCUGCCCGGUGCCGGAAGGUUAAUUGAUGGGGUUAGCGGUAACGCGAAGCUCUUGAUCGAAGCCCCGGUAAACGGCGGCCGUAACUAUAACGGUCCUAAGGUAGCGAAAUUCCUUGUCGGGUAAGUUCCGACCUGCACGAAUGGCGUAAUGAUGGCCAGGCUGUCUCCACCCGAGACUCAGUGAAAUUGAACUCGCUGUGAAGAUGCAGUGUACCCGCGGCAAGACGGAAAGACCCCGUGAACCUUUACUAUAGCUUGACACUGAACAUUGAGCCUUGAUGUGUAGGAUAGGUGGGAGGCUUUGAAGUGUGGACGCCAGUCUGCAUGGAGCCGGCCUUGAAAUACCACCCUUUAAUGUUUGAUGUUCUAACGUUGGCCCCUGAUCGGGGUUGCGGACAGUGUCUGGUGGGUAGUUUGACUGGGGCGGUCUCCUCCUAAAGAGUAACGGAGGAGCACGAAGGUUGGCUAAUCCUGGUCGGACAUCAGGAGGUUAGUGCAAUGGCAUAAGCCAGCUUGACUGCGAGCGUGACGGCGCGAGCAGGUGCGAAAGCAGGUCAUAGUGAUCCGGUGGUUCUGAAUGGAAGGGCCAUCGCUCAACGGAUAAAAGGUACUCCGGGGAUAACAGGCUGAUACCGCCCAAGAGUUCAUAUCGACGGCGGUGUUUGGCACCUCGAUGUCGGCUCAUCACAUCCUGGGGCUGAAGUAGGUCCCAAGGGUAUGGCUGUUCGCCAUUUAAAGUGGUACGCGAGCUGGGUUUAGAACGUCGUGAGACAGUUCGGUCCCUAUCUGCCGUGGGCGCUGGAGAACUGAGGGGGGCUGCUCCUAGUACGAGAGGACCGGAGUGGACGCAUCACUGGUGUUCGGGUUGUCAUGCCAAUGGCACUGCCCGGUAGCUAAAUGCGGAAGAGAUAAGUGCUGAAAGCAUCUAAGCACGAAACUUGCCCCGAGAUGAGUUCUCCCUGACUCCUUGAGAGUCCUGAAGGAACGUUGAAGACGACGACGUUGAUAGGCCGGGUGUGUAAGCGCAGCGAUGCGUUGAGCUAACCGGUACUAAUGAACCGUGAGGCUUAACCUU
rnacentral:rRNA from 1 species